rnacentral:rRNA from 1 species
UACAGAGGGGGCAAGCGUUGUUCGGAAUUACUGGGCGUAAAGCGCGUGUAGGCGGCUUUGCAAGUCGGGUGUGAAAGCCCUCAGCUCAACUGAGGAAGUGCAUCUGAAACUGGCGAGCUAGAGUACUAAAGAGGGUCGCGGAAUUCCCGGUGUAGAGGUGAAAUUCGUAGAUAUCGGGAGGAACACCAGCGGCGAAGGCGGCACUCUGGGCUGGAACUGACGCUGAGGAGCGAAAGCGUGGGUAGCAAACAGG